UAAAUUCUGCUGUGCUGUGUCCAGGCAUUGCCACUCCUCCAAGGAGAAUUCUAUGGCCACAUCCAUAAAUGUCAAUGGGCUCCAGGAAGACCAGGUUUCUGUAGUUCUCCAUCA